rnacentral:lncRNA from 10 species
UUCAAGGGCAUGAGCAGGGUACAGUGAAAGCACAUAGGACAAAGCAGCACACUAGGACACGGAGCAGGAGAACCAUCAUCACAUCUGUGUCCAAAACCACAAUGAGCAGGGUUACCAGAACCCCAGAGAAAGUCGCAUAGAGAGGGCCACUGGAGGGGAGCUGUGAACUUGGGUUAUGAAAAGUGGUCAAUCCAGCCUGACUGCGCAGGGAAGAAGCCAGAUGAAUAAGUGCCCCAAAUUUAUUCUCUUAUUUCUGUUCAAGUUCCGCAAGCAAUCCCCAUUAGCUGAAUCCAAACAGAAGCCAGGGUGUAAGGGAUCUUAUUCAUGUAAGCCAUACAAGUCACAGAGCAGAGAAAGAAGUCCAGAGAGGAGCCUGAAGGAAUAACUGAGUGUUCAAGACACCAGCCUCUUAUGACUUCAGGAGGAGUCACCUGAGUGUGAAACUGACACUGUAGAAGUCAGAGCAGAGUACCUGGGUACAUGAAGACAAGGAACACUAAAGUCUGCCCUAUCUUGGACUUCCUGCUACGGGCUCUCCAUUGGACAAAGCCAA